rnacentral:lncRNA from 1 species
ACCAUUUCAAAUGCCAGAGCCUCCAGUGAGGGCUUCUUUCCAGAGGCAACUUUGCUCUUUAAACUCAGACAGGGACUCAUUCUGCUGCCCAGGCUAGAAUGCAGUGGUGUAAUCAUGGCUCAUUGCAACCUCCACCUCCUGGGCUCGAGUGAUCCUCCCAUCUGAACCUCCCCAACUAGCUGGAACCACUGGUGCGCACUACCACAUCCGGCUAAUUUUUGCAUUUUUUGUAGAGACAGGUUUUCACCACGUUGCCCAGGCUAAUCUCAAACUCCUGAACUCAAGCGAUCUGCCCACCUCGGCCACCCAAAGUGCCAGGAUUACAGGUAUGAGACACUGUGUGGUCCCCUCAACUUAUUUUUUUAACAUUUUUUUUUCCAAUGAAGUUGCUUGUCUCUUUCACUUUUGUCCAAUUUGUUUCUUAUAUUUUCUUUUUAUUAUUAUUUUAAUAUUGAUUCAUUUUUUAACUCUUUUUUAUUCCUUUUAUUUCUUUCCCUAGUUUAUUUCAUAACUCACUUUUAUGCUUAUUUCUAUUUUACUGAUUUCAGUAUUAAUUAUUUUAAAUUGCUUUCUUUUGCACAGUUUUAGCUUUAUUAUUUCUUAUAUUAUGCUAUUUAUUCUUUAUUUUUGCUCAACUUCUUAGUUUCUGGCAUUCUGUUCUUUCACUUUAUCUCAUUGGUUUAAUUUCAUAAUUCAAAUUAUUUCCUGGUUAUUUUAACGUUCAUUUUAAGAAAUUGUUAUUGCUUUUAAUUUAAAAAAUGGUCUUUAUAUGGUAUAUGAAAAACAAUUCAAUAUGGAUAGCCCCAAGGACAAAGAGUCUGUACCAUGGAAAGGUGGCCUUGCAGUUUUCUAUCAAACUUCCCAGGAGCAGAAAUUUGCAACCUCCUCUUUGCCGCAACACACCAAAAGGAGCAGAAUCAUUGACUCUUAGUAGUUCUCAGCUGUGAUGCAACAAAGCAUUUCAAAACCUCUAGCUGAAUGCUAAGACAAAGGCUUCUCAUUGUGUGAAAGCUGAAGGAUCUCUCCCUGCAUUCCCUUCAUGGGCAUCUCUAGGCUACUUGGCCUCAUGGAUGCUUCAGGCUCUCCAGUGGCUUCAGAGAUCCCUAGUUUCCAGCAUUCCCCCUCCUGCUGCAUGUCUCAGUCUAACUGGUCAUUGAUAGUGGCAGGAGACAGACAAAUUCCUAGGCCGACAGGGUUGGGUUCCUGGUGAAACCCAGCCUUCAAAUCAAAGACAAUUUAAAGCCUGAAAACCGACCUGCUGAUUCCAGAUAGAGUCUACAACCAGAGACACGGCUUUACCUCCUUCUCCAGAGGAUGCAACAAUAAGGCACCAUCUUGGAAGCAGAAAGCAGCCCUCACCAGACACCAAAUCUGCCAGCACCUUGAUCUUGGAUUUCCCAGACUCCAGAACUGUGAGAAAUAAAUUUUUAUUUUUUAUCAAUGAGCCAGUCUAAGGUAUUUUGUUAUAGCAACGCAAACGGACCAAGAUAAUUACCUUUUUUUACUAGAAUAUUUGUUACCUGAGCAUGAAGUUUUAUCUUUCUUUACUGCCUUUUACAUAGGAGGUAAUCAAAUGUGUCCUGAAUUCAGGUUAUUAAAUUAUAUAAUGAAUUAGAUUAUAUUGCCACUGUGUUGUCUCUUUUCACCAAAAUCUACUAAUAAAUAGUUAUGUUAAGAAAUUAAAUAUAUUGCCAGGUGCGGUGGCUCACGCUGUAAUCCCAGCACUUUGGGAAGCUGAGGCGGGCGGAUCACAAGGUCAGAAGUUCAAGACCAGCCUGGCCAAGAGACCAGCCUGGUCAAUAUGGUGAAACCCUAUCUCUACUAAAAA